UAAGGGAAUCUUCCACAGUGGGCGAAAGCCUGAUGGAGCAACGCCGCGUGUGUGAUGAAGGGUUUCGGCUCGUAAAACACUGUUGUAAGAGAAGAAUUUGACAUUGAGAGUAACUGUUCAAUGUGUGACGGUAUCUUACCAGAAAGGAACGGCUAAAUACGUGCCAG
rnacentral:rRNA from 1 species